rnacentral:rRNA from 1 species
UUGGGAAUCUUGCACAAUGGGGGAAACCCUGAUGCAGCGACGCCGCGUGGAGGAUGAAGGAUCUAGGUCUGUAAACUCCUUUUUCAGGGAAAGACUUAGGACGGUACCCUGAGAAUAAGGACCGGCUAACUACGUGCCAGCAGCCGCGGUAAGACGUAGGGUCCAAGCGUUGUCCGGAUUUACUGGGCGUAAAGAGCGCGUAGGCGGCUCGUUAAGUGUGAAGCUAAAUCUCUGGGCUCAACCCGGAAACUAUUUCGCAUACUGGCGAGCUAGAGGGAUGAAGAGGUUUGUGGAAUUCCUGGUGUAGCGGUGAAAUGCGUUGAUAUCAGGAGGAACACCCAUGGCGAAGGCAGCAAACUGGGCAUCAACUGACGCUGAGGCGCGAAAGCGUGGGUAGCAAACAGGAUUAGAUACCCCGGUAGUCC